GACAUUGACACCCUUGACAGCUCCGCCCUUCGGAAUACUCUUGAUCGGCUGCAGGAGCCUGGACACCCGCUGUACAUGAUGUAUAAACUCACGAGACAUUUUUCAGCAUUUUGUUUUACACGUGCAAAAGCUACAUCCGCCUACUCCAUUAUUAGCACAGCUGUUACUGCAGAUAGAUUAAGGUUAAAAAUGUAAACAGUCUGCGAAUGCGCGUCGUAGUGGCGCGCAAUUAUAAAACUGUAGGAGGAACUCGGCGGUCAUUAGAAAUUGACCGGAGUUUGGAUGAUAAACGUCGGAUAUUACGAUAAAUACAUCUUAAGAUAAGUACAUCUGCAUCCAUCGAAUUACGCGAGUAAUAUCAUGAUGGCAUUGGGGAAAAUCCUGCUUUUGGUUGCUGUCAUGGAAUGUUGUUCGACAUCAUCGAGUGCCAAUAGUCAUCCACAGGUCCGGACAUGCUCGAGUUCGGCCGAUUGUGAGAAGAACGAGUGCUGUGUUGCACAUCCCCAUCGAUAUUCCACCCCUUACUGCAGCUCCCUGAGACAGAGAGGCGAUCCAUGUGUGCCAACGUCGCGGCGGAUCGAUUCAACUGUGGUACAGCCCGGCUACACUUUCGCCAAUGUCUACUGGAUCCUCUGCCCCUGCGCACCAUCUCUCUCCUGCAACUGGUUCACCGGACUCUGCGGUACAAAGGAGGACUAUCCUUACACUCUCCUCAAUGAAGUAUAACAUAAUGUUCAUCUGCUUUUCCAUUUCCCCACUAUAUUAUUAAUUUUUUUAAACGAAUUUAUUAGAUG